AGAGAAGUUACUAAGAGUAUACGGGGGAUGCCUAGGCUCUUGGAGGCGAAGAAGGACGUGACAAGCUGCGAAAAGCCACGGGGAUUGGCAAAUACGAAUAGAUCCGUGGAUAUCCGAAUGGGGCAACCCGAUAAGUUGAAGACUUAUCACCGCGGAAAGCGGGGCGAACGUGGGGAACUGAAACAUCUAAGUACCCAUAGGAAGAGAAAAUAACAAUGAUUUCGGGAGUAGUGGUGAGCGAAACUGAAAGAGCCCAAACCAAUUUUGUUACGGCAAGAUUGGGGUUGAAGGACUACGACAUUGCAAGAGACUAUAUAUAAGAAUCAUUUGGGAAGAUGAACCGAAGAAGGUGAUAGUCCUGUAUUAGAAAUGUAGAUUGAAGCAUAGUAGAAUCCUGAGUAAGGCGGGACCGGAGGAAUCCUGUCUGAAUCUACCGGCACCAUCCGGUAAGGCUAAAUACUACCAAGAGACCGAUAGUGAACCAGUACUGUGAAGGAAAGGUGAAAAGAACCGUGAACAACGGAGUGCAAUAGAACCUGAAACCGUAUACUUACAAGCGGUCGGAGCCACAAUAAGUGGUGACGGCGUGCCUUUUGCAUAAUGAGCCUACGAGUUAAUGUUGUUAGCGAGGUUAAGAUAUUGAGUAUCGUAGCCGAAGCGAAAGCGAGUCUGAAUAGGGCGCUAUAGUUAACAGCAUUAGACGCGAAACUUAGUGAUCUACCCUUGAGCAGGAUGAAGGUCUGGUAACACAGAGUGGAGGUCCGAACCGGUAGCUGUUGAAAAAGCUUCGGAUGACUUGAGGGUAGGGGUGAAAGGCUAAUCAAACUGAGAGAUAGCUCGUACUCCCCGAAAAGCUUUUAGGAGCUGCCUUGCUUAUAAUUUACAGAGGUAGAGCUACUGAUAGGAUGCGGGGGCUUCACCGCCUACCAAUUCCUGACAAACUCCGAAUGCUGUAAAUGCUGAGAGCAGGAGAAAGGCUAUGGGUGCUAAUGUCCAUAGCCGAGAGGGCAAUAACCCAGACCAUCAGCUAAGGUCCCGGAAUGUAUGCUAAGUUGAAAUAACGCGGUUAGACUGCAGAGACAGCUAGGAUGUUGGCUUGGAAGCAGCCAUUCAUUUAAAGAGUGCGUAACAGCUCACUAGUCGAGCGGUAUAGCAUGGAUAAUAAACGGGCAUAAGCAUACUACCGAAGCUAUGGAAUACGAUGUAUUGGUAGGGGAGCAUUCUAACGACGGAGAAGCAUAUUCGUGAGGAUAUGUGGAGUUUUUAGAAAAGCAAAUGUAGGCAUAAGUAACGAUAAUGCGGGCGAGAAACCCGCACACCGAAAGACCAAGGGUUCCUGAUCAACGAUAAUCGGAUCAGGGUUAGUCUGGACCUAAGUCGUAGCCGAGAGGCGGAGAUAAUGGACAAUCGGUUAAUAUUCCGAUACUGACUAUAACACUGAAGGAAUGACGGAGUAGCGUCCCUGCUGCGUGCUGACGGAAUAGCACGUUGAACAACGAAGGUAUUGGUUACGAGGCAAAUCCCGUAAUUAGCUGAAGUUGGAAAGUACGACGAUCCGUAAGGAGAGUUGACAUGCAGUUAAGCAGACUUCCAAGAAAAGUUUCUAAAGACAUGUUAUAGCCACCAGUACCGUAAACCGACACAGGUGGUCGAGGAGAGAAUCCAAAGGUGCUCGAGUGAUCCGUGGCUAAGGAACUAGGCAAAUUAGUCCUGUAACUUAGGGAGAAAGGACCCCACAGUGAUGUGGGCGCAGAGAAAUGGCCCAGGCGACUGUUUAACAAAAACACAUGGCUUUGCAAAUUUGAAAGAAGAAGUAUAAGGCCUGACACCUGCCCGGUGCUGGAAGGUUAAGGGGGGGCGUAAUCAUGGAAGCAAUGAAGUGUGAAGCGCUGAACUGAAGCCCCAGUAAACGGCGGUCGUAACUAUAA
rnacentral:rRNA from 1 species